AGAGCCUACACAGAAGAAACGAUAGUAUAAUAAUAUUACUAAUAUUAUUAUACUAUCAUUUCUUCUGUGUAGGCUCU